rnacentral:tRNA from 1 species
CGGGAUGUGGCGCAGUUGGUAGCGCGCUGCGCUGGGGGUGCAGAGGUCGCAAGUUCAAGUCUUGUCAUCCCGACCA